GAAAGACAACUGGCAGAACACAAAGAAGCAAGUACAGGAAGCCACAAAGCCGAGAUAGCUGUCCCUCCCCAUCUCCAGUAGAAUGUAGGGGAAGCAGAGGGGAGGGUGGGAGGGGGCUGACUAACUUGAGGAAAGUUCUUAUUCAGUGUGUAUUCACACCUGUGGACUAACACACUUACAUAUAUACAUAUACAUAUGUAUUCACUUUAGGGUCACUGUAGUACUACAGUAGAUAUCCUGCUAACCAUGAAUAAGGAACCCUCUUUCCGUUCAGCUGCCCACCUAGAUAAGGCCCUGUCAAAGGCAAGCAAACAGACAGAAGACCACUGGAAGAAAUGAAGGAAGCAGAGGUGCCUGGAAGCCAACUGAGUUAUGGAAAUUCACUGAAGAUGGUUUCAAGAUGUAGAAUCCUUAUAGAUGAAAUAUCCCAAAUGAAGUUUGAGCGUUGAAAUUGCUUCAUAUUAUGGUAAGAGGACAUGAUUCUUAAUAUUUUGCCCUUUGUCACCAAGAAAAUCAUAGUGUUUUGUAUUUGUGUGAAUUUUUUGUAAUGAACAUCUAAUGAAAUAAAAAUUAUGAAGGUUUUCACCCAGUACACAAGAAGAUUCAGAAA
rnacentral:lncRNA from 1 species